GAGAAAAUAGAUACUUUUCUUUUCGGUAACCUGGGGGAUCGUCUGACUUGAAGCCUGACAGAACAACUGAAGGAAACGAUCUACUAGGUUAGGCUAGCCUAGCCUAGCCUAACUUGAAAAUCAACUUGUUUGUUGGACGUCAAUCGAUACCUUUGUCCGUUCACCUUGUCUUUUCGCAGAACAACAAUCCAGAUAAUGACCGUGUCUUGCUGUCGAUCUCUGAUAAGUCUGGUC